rnacentral:rRNA from 1 species
UACGAAGGGGCCUAGCGUUGUCCGGAUUAUUGGGCGUAAAGAGCUCGUAGGCGGUUCGGCAAGUCGGAUGUGAAAUCUCCACGCUCAACGUGGAGGGGCCAUUCGAAACUGCUGUGACUUGGAGUGCCGGUAGGGGGGUGUGGAAUUCCCGGUGUAGCGGUGAAAUGCGUAGAUAUCUGGAGGAACACCGGUGGCGAAGGCGGUUCUCUGGGCAUUACCUGACGCUGAGGAGCGAAAGCGUGGGGAGCGAACAGG